ensembl:lncRNA
UGACGACACAGCCUGAAGCUCCGUCAGCAGGUAUCGAGGUCACGUGGGAGCAGGUGUCAUGAGCAGCUUUAAAGGAGAGCUUCAUGUUAAUACAAGUCUUAGUCAUUCUCAUACGCCCCCUAACAAGUUAUUGGGUGCUGGAAUCCUUCCCACUGUCCGUACUGGCUGUACAAAUUUUCCUUCCUAAUGCUUUUAAUGGUUUCUCUGUAUGGACAGGAGGAAUGUUUGUGACAACUCAAUUUACACAUGGAAUCAUUAUUUUAAUUAGAUAUUAUUGUGAGCUCUAUCAUUUUAAAGUGCUUUGCUUUAAUACACCACAAGUUAUUGUCUUGCUGUAAGCAAUUUACUUAACAGCUGAAACAUUUCACGUCGUCUUGGCGUUUUCUAUGCAGUAAACUCGGUGUGGUGCCCUUUGUUGUCUUAAGUAAAGCUCUGUGAAGUCGCAGGCGCGUUAAACUGAUGUCUGGUUAUAGGAUUUCUUGCUUUGAAUGACCUUUUUAUAGGAAUACAAACCAGUAUUUUGCUUAGCUACUUUCAGUUUUUUCUAUCUAUGUGUCCUCGUCCUCCUCCCGUAUUUCAUCUCGUUGAGACUCGCAGAUCCGUAUCUUGGGUCAAGAUGCAUUGGAUGGGAUGUAAAUGGGGCAAGCGGUGCCACCUUUUGUGUGUGUGUGUGUGCACUUCCUGCAAAUCCACCCUGUGCUGCCCUGAGCCUUUGAGCAGCUCUGCUUCGUGUCCGGGGAGUUUCAUUCACAUCACUGAUAGUCUGUUGCUGUAAGUAAUUGCACUAAAUUUCCUCCUUUUACAGUGUUUUGAGCUUAAACUGUAAACAGUAAAUUGAAGAGUUCCAAAAUGUAAAGCACUCAAAGUCAUGGAGACAUCUUAGGUUCUGUUUCUGUACAUAGCUGUAUUUUUUUUUUGUAUAGAUUACUUUGAUGAUGCUUGUUAAUAUUGCCUUAAAUUCUGCUCUGUUCAAUGUGUGAAGGUGAAAUAAUGGAAUGCUCCUGAUAGACUUGUAUUCCCUCCUCAGGCGAGAAAUAAUCAAGCAGAAAUUCAUAUUCAUAUUUCUGAAUUGUGGUGGUGAAAUUUCUGUCCCCCAGAUGCUUUAACCAUGAAACGUGCGUGUUUGGUAUUUUUUAAUACAUUCUUUUCUUUGACACUUGCCUUUUCAUUUCAGUUUUUUUUAAUGUGUGUUGGUGAAGUAAAUGGAAGCACUUUUCUGCACUUUUUUUUCUCUUUUUUCAAGACGAUGAGAAGAGUGUCUAACUGAGGGCAAUCCAUUAAUCACACACACACACACACACACACACUUUAAUUGUCGUUGCACAAGAUCAGUAGUUUCCCCCUGGAAUGAAUGGGAUGUGUUUGGCGUCUCGUGCCUGGUCACAGUCUCUGUGUGGGGAGGCGGAGACGGACUGGCUGCAGUAAUCGGAUAGCUUUCCCCUGGUGGUGACGUGACGGUUUAUUAUGUUUCGUGACAUUGGCGGUGGGGAUUUCUACUCCCCCGUAUGAACUACUUCCCGUUGUUUGACCCAGGCAUUGAACUGCAAAAGUGAAUUUAGAUGAUUUUUUUUUUUUGGUGUCGCUGAUGUCCAGUUAAAUCCCGAGAACGGUUAAAAGUUUUAAAGAAGUCCGUAUUUUCAGACUUUCCAUUUUUCUCUUUGGCCUCGCUGUGGCGCUGCUUUUCUAUGUGACGUGCAACCAAUGAAAAACAAAAAAACAGCAGUUUUUGUUUUAAAUGCCUAAAUCUGCAAAAUAUAUGCAAUGAUGUAAAUGUAACAUUCAAUCCUCAGAUAUAAUCCAGGUUGUAUGAACUUUGUAUAGUGAGUUUUAAUAUUGUAUGGCCGUUCCAAUAUGUAUUGAUCUUUAUCAGAAGCCUUAGUUGUUGACCGAAAGUGCUCCCUUAGAAUACCCCAAACCUACCUGACUUUAACAAAGCAUUAAUAUCUCUAUUUUGUUGCGUUUUCAUUUCUACUGGUUUUGAAUAAAAUAGAUUUGUACUGUAUAUUUGUACCUCUCUGUGAACUACUUAGGGUGUUUCUUUUGUUUUUGUUUUGCUGUUUUAAUGUACUUUAAGGACACAAAGAUAUUGUAUUUUUAUUGUUACAGCUAACUUGGAGACAUUGCAUUUAUUAUGUUUGUUAAGUAAACGCAAU